CCCCGAGCCCCCCCAGAUUCCCCCCCUCGACCUGCCUGGCAUCAGCGGCCGCCCUGAGCGCAGGAGGAAGAAGAAGGUGACGCCCAUUGACCUGUCGGAGCUCGAGGCCUGGGCCUCCUCCAUGAACGCGCAGUUCGAGGAGGCCGAGAGGUUCCCGCUCGUCGUGGAGUGACCCCGAGACCCCUGGGGCCCCCCCGUGCAGGAGGGACCCUCGGGGGACCCUCCAGACCCCUGUGGGACCUCUCCAGGCCAGAGAGACGCCUGGGGACCCCCACGGGACCCCCACGGGACCCUCGGGACUGGGGGGUCCUUGUGCGGGGACCCCCCAUGCAGAGCCCCUCUCCUGCCCUGUGGGACCCUGAGGUGAGACCCCCGUGGGGGGGGAGGGGCCCCACACGUGUGGGACCCCCGGAGCUGUCAGCCCCCACCCCGCCCCCCGUUUGUUGCCCAUUAAACGAGUUUUUGUCGUGGG